UACGUAGGGGGCAAGCGUUGACCGGAUUUAUUGGGCGUAAAGAGCGUGUAGGCGGCCAAACAGGUCAGCUGUGAAAACUCGAGGCUCAACCUCGAGACGUCGGUUGAAACCGUUUGGCUAGAGUCCGGAAGAGGAGAGUGGAAUUCCAGGUGUAGCGGUGAAAUGCGCAGAUAUCGGGAAGAACACCCGUGGCGAAGGCGGCUCUCUGGGACGGUACUGACGCUGAGACGCGAAAGCGUGGGGAGCGAACCGG
rnacentral:rRNA from 1 species